rnacentral:tRNA from 1 species
UCAGGGUAGCUCAGUCCGGUAGAGCAGAGGACUGAAAAUUCUCGUGUCGCCAGUUCAAAUCUGGUUCCUGAUAGCUCAGUCCGGUAGAGCAGAGGACUGAAAAUUCUCGUGUCGCCAGUUCAAAUCUGGUUCCUG